UCCUACGGGGGGCUGCAGUAGGGAAUUUUCGGCAAUGGGGGAAACCCUGACCGAGCAACGCCGCGUGAAUGAAGAAGUAUUUCGGUAUGUAAAGUUCUUUUAUUGAGGAAGAAUGGGUUGGGUAGGAAAUGACCUGACCGUGACGGUACUCAAUGAAUAAGCCCCGGCUAACUAUGUGCCAGCAGCCGCGGUAAUACAUAGGGGGCAAGCGUUAUCCGGAAUUAUUGGGCGUAAAGGGUGCGUAGGCGGUCUGUUAAGUCUAAGGUGUAAGUGCAAGGCUCAACCUUGUGAUGCUUUAGAAACUGGUGGACUAGAGAUAGAUAGAGGCAAGUGGAAUUCCAUGUGUAGCGGUAAAAUGCGUAAAUAUAUGGAGGAACACCAGUGGCGAAGGCGGCUUGCUGGGUCUAUACUGACGCUGAGGCACGAAAGCGUGGGGAGCAAACAGGAUUAGAUACCCGAGUAGUCG
rnacentral:rRNA from 1 species